rnacentral:rRNA from 1 species
GCAGCCUGAUGCAGCGACGCCGCGUGAAUGAUGAAGGCUUUAGGGUUGUAAAGUUCAGUAAGCAGGGAAGAAUAAGCGCCGGGUAAUAUUCGGUGUGAUGACGGUACCUGCCUAAAGCCCCGGCUAACUACGUGCCAGCAGCCGCGGUAAUACGUAUGGGGCGAGCGUUGUUCGGAAUUAUUGGGCGUAAAGGGCGUCUAGGCGGGAAAUUAAGUUAGGUGUGAAAGCUAUGGGCUCAACCCAUAAACUGCAUCUAAAACUGAUUUUCUUGAGUUCGGGAGAGGAGAGCGGAAUUCCAGGUGUAGCGGUGAAAUGCGUAGAUAUCUGGAAGAACACCAGUGGCGAAGGCGGCUCUCUGGCCUAGAACUGACGCUGAAGCGCGAAAGCGUGGGGAGCGAACAGGAUUAGAUACCCUGGUAGUCCACGCUGUAAACGUUGUAUACUAGGUGUUAGUGGCUUGUCCACUAGUGCCGCAGCAAACGCAUUAAGUAUACCGCCUGGGGAGUACGCCCGCAAGGGUGAAACUCAAAGAAAUUGAGGGGCCCGCACAAGCGGUGGAGCAUGUGGUUUAAUUCGAUGAUACGCGAAGAACCUACCUGGGCUUGAACUGUGCAUGACCGGCGUAGAGAUACGUCUUUCCUUCGGGACAUGUAUAGAGGUGCUGCAUGGGCUGUCGUCAGCUCGUGUCGUGAGAUGU